UGAAAUAAUAAGCUUUCUUAUUUUCUCUGUGAAAUCAAGCCUACUGAGCACCAUCUGCCUCUCGUGUGUUAAACAGCUGAAGGUCAUACUUAGACUAUUGUCAGGAACAUGGAAGAAAAACCUGCAAACUCCUGUGUCAUCAUGCAGUUUUAUACUUUUCAUUCCAAAGAAAUUUUCCCAAGAGAGACAGACAUCCUUCCCAGCCGUAUAUAGAGACACCAAAAUAAACAGGCCAUGAGAAAGAGCAUGAGUGAUGCGGAGCCCAGCUUCUUGGCGAGGGAUGGGUCUCAGAGCUGAUUUCGUCUGUUCUGCAGCUCUGCUCACGUGGUGCAGACAUUAAUAAUCAAGGAGAUGGGCUGAGCUCUGAGGCCUUCUGCCCUUGCUGCUGGACCCCGUGACCUGAGCACUCCACCCUUGUCAGAAGGAACCAAAUGCCCCAGGGGCCACUGAAACCCUGCAAAUCCAGCUCCUGGGCUGCUUUCAAAAAUACCAACUCCACAGAGACUAAGGGACAAAAAGAAGCAAACAGGAUGAGAUGUAAUAUUUUCAAGAUGUCAAUACUUACCAAAUUGAUCUACAAAUUCAAGACAAUCCCUAUCAAAAUCCCAGCUGCCGGUUUUUGCAAAAAUGGACAAACUCCUGAUGCAAAUUUUAAUACGAAAAUGCAAGGGACCCUUGGUGGUCAAAACAACCUUGCAAAAAGAAAAACAAAAUUAAGAACUCAUAUUUCCCAAUUUCAAAAGUUACUACGAAACUGCAGUAAUCAAGAGAGUGUGAUACCGACAUAAGAAUAGGCAUAUAGACCUAUAAAAUAAACAUCAGAGUUCAGAAAUAAACCCUUUAUGGUCAGUUUAUGGUUAGUUGAUUUUUGAUAAGGGUGCCAAUAUCAUUCAGUGGGGGAUAGAAUCGUCUUUUCAAUAAAUGGCGCUGGGACAACUGGAUAUCCAGGUGCAAAGAAUUAAUUUGAACCCUACCUCACACCAUAUAUAAAAAUUAAUUAAAAAUGGAUCAUAGACCUAACCAAUAAGAAAUAAAACUAUAAAAUUCUUGGAAGAAAACAGAGGUGUAAAUCUUUAUGACCUUGGAUUAAGCAAUGAUGUCUAUAAUAUCAAAAGCACAGAUGACAAAAAAAAUUAGCUAAAUUGGAUUUCAUCAAAAUUGGAAACAUUUGCAGUUCAAAGGACACUUUGAAAGUGCAAGGACAAUCCACAGAAUGGGAGAAAACAUUUGCAAAUUGUAUAUCUGAUAAGAGAUUAAUAUUUAGAAUAUAGACAGAACUGUCACAACUUAAUAAUAAAAAGAAAAAUAACUCAAUUUUAAAAUGGGCAAAGUAUCUGAAUUCUCUAAAGAAGACAGACAAAUGGCCAGAUAAAAAGUUGCCUAACAUCAUUAGUCAUUAGGGAAAUGCAAAUCAAAACCACCAGGAGAUAUGUUUCACAUACACUAGAACAGCUAGAAUCAAAAGGACAGCUGAUAACAAGUGUUGGCGAGGAUGUAGAAGAAUUGGAACCUUCAUGCAUUGUUGGUGAGAAUGUCAAAUGGAGCAGCUGUCUGGAAAACAGUUUGCCAACUCCUCAAAAGAUUAAAUGUAGAGUUACCAUAUGACCCAAUAAUUCCACUCCCAGGUAUAUAUCUGAGCCACACAAUAUAUAUGUCCAAAUAAAACUCUGCACACAAAUGUACAUGGCAGUAACCUUCACAACAGCCAAAAAAUGGAAUCAGCUCCAUGUCCACAACUUAGGUGUAAAUGAAUAAAAUGUAGUAUCCACACGAUGGAACAUUAUUCGUCAUAAAAUUGAACGGAUGGCUGAUACAUGCUACAGUUGGAAGAAACUUGAAAACAUGCUAAGUCAAAGAAGCCAGUUAUAAAAGACCACAUAUUGUAUGAUUCCGUUUAUAUGAAAUGGCCAGAAUAGGUAAAUCCAUAGGGACAGAAAAUCACUUCGUGUUUGCUAGGGGCUGGAUCAAGAAGGGCCAGGAGUGACUGCCAAUGGGUCAGAGGGUUCUUUUUUGGGGUGACAAAAUGUUCUAAAAUUGUGGUGAUGCUUGCAAAACUGUGAAUAUAUUAACAACUAUUGUUGGAUUGUAUACUUUGAGAUGCUAUGUGAUUUAUAUCUCAAACCUUUCAAAGAAAUCACUCGUUUUAACACACUGCACUGAUGUUAUGGGGGGUAGCUGGCCCUCAGGAUGACAGUUCCAUUCAGUCGAUGUUUCUUGAUUUGCAACUGUUGCACACCAACCAGGUGCCAGAUGUGAGGGUGUUGAAGUGACCAAGACCCAGUCCUGGUCUUUCUGAGACUCACGGUCUGUUCAGAGAAGCAAAUACAUAUACCCAAAUGCUUCCAAUGGGGGAGGGACUGUGGGUACCUGUUACAGUUAAAGCACAAAAUGUGAGAAAAGAUGACAAGAGCUGGAAAUCCCAACUGCUCCUUCCUCUCGGGAAAGGAAGUGAGCCUGGUGAAGGGGGAGACAGUUCAUUGGCACCUUCUCCUUCCUGGGGGGUGGGCUCUCCAGACACCCCCACUGAACAGAUGGGUGAACAGAUGAGAACUUGUUGAGCCCUGGGGUGGCUGGGUGUCCUGGGGGAUACACGGAGAGCUAAGGCAUGGCCCAACUAAGAGCCAUGGCCUCCCAGGCGGGGACACACAGAGCUGGUGACCUGCAGGAGGGUGCAGGCGGCAGACACCCAGGAUGGCAGUGCUGCAGGAGGGCCACGUCCUGCUCCCGCUCCUUCCAGAUUGUGCUCCUUAAGCCACCCAUCCUGGGCCUAUCCACAGGGCCCUGCACAUAGGGCUGUGGGACAGUGAUGGUUUAAACUGGGGUUGGGGGUAAGAUGACAGACCACAGCCCAUCCCUGAGAGCAGAGGAGGGAGGCCUGUCUGGAGCCACCUGACUCUGCCCCAGCCUUCUAGAACUUUUCCCUUCUCCUCCUCCUCCAUGUCCAAGUACCUGAGCUGCUCCAAGAAAGGACUGGCUCCCUGCCCCACGGUGUGCAUCAGCACCUCCCCAUGUGGGGUGAAGCCCCCGCUGGGGGGCCCUUAAGCUGCAUGGGCAGUGGGCCUCCAGACUGGCCCGUAAGCCGAAUGCACACAGAGCGGCAGGGCCCAUCUCAGCAGAAUGAGUUGCUCCCAUCAAAGGCAUCAAUGUAACAGCCCUGCUGGAGGUGCGGGGUGGGUAUUUUAAGCCUUAUCUUUUGUCAUGAAGUCCACCCCUAGUUAAAAUAGUAUUUCAGUGAAGGACUGAGCUUUCUGGGCUCGAGGAGGGGGAGCACCCUGAGGCCUCCCGUUGUGCCCAAGAAGCCGCCUGGGGGGAUGAAGUAGUGUACACUUGCCCUCCUAUCAGGCGAGAAAGCUCGGAAAGAAGCCAGACUUGCAGGAAACUCCUCCCACCCGGUAAUGAUUCCUGCGACCCUUUGUGACCCUGUGAGGAGCUGAAGGACCCAUGGCCGACCCUCUGUGUGACUCACUUCCCUGUGCACAGCUCGUGACUUGGUCUGAAGGACAACAGUGCUGCAGUAGCUCUCCCUGCUCAAGUGCCAUUUCCCCUCCCCGGGCGCCGCACCCUCUUCCUGCCCCCCAGCACCUGGCCCUCCUUCUGGAAGCCUCCUCCCUCAGUCCUGUUCUCUGGUACAAGCCACAUAAACCAGCCCUGGCUGAUUUAGGUAGAAACAGAAUUAAUCUCAAACUCUUCCUGAUCUCUGGGAGGACAGAUGCCAGGCUGAGAAGCUGGGCAGCCAGCAGCAGAGGCUGGAAAUCCCACUCAGGAUGGUCUGGCAAGGAUGGAGGGCACUGCUGGGCUUGGGCACCAGGGGUGCCUGGACCAGCUCCGCAUACGGCUACUGGAACAUCCGGACAAGUGGGAUGCAGCUAUUGCCAGACUCUGAGUGGUGCCUGCCCAGCAGA